rnacentral:rRNA from 1 species
AGAGUUUGAUUCUGGCUCAGGAUGAACGCUGGCGGCGUGCUUAACACAUGCAAGUCGAACGGAGAUGACAUUUAAGAAGGGAAUAGUUUACUAGGAACGGAAGAGAUGACAUCUUAGUGGCGGACGGGUGAGUAACGCGUGGGUAACCUGCCUCACACUGGGGGAUAACACUUAGAAAUAGGUGCUAAUACCGCAUAAGAAGGGAAGACGCAUGUCUUUACUUUAAAAACUCCGGUGGUGUGGGAUGGACCCGCGUCUGAUUAGCCAGUUGGCGGGGUAACGGCCCACCAAAGCGACGAUCAGUAGCCGGCCUGAGAGGGUGAACGGCCACAUUGGGACUGANACACGGCCCAAACUCCUACGGGAGGCACCACUGGGGAAUAUUGGACAAUGGGGGGAACCCUGAUCCAGCGACGCCGCGUGAGUGAAGAAGUAUUUCGGUAUGUAAAGCUCUAUCAGCAGGGAAUAAAGAAAUGA